ensembl:lncRNA
CACCAGGCAACGAACAGCUCAGGGAGGAUCAUCGGGGAGGAUGCACACAAUGCUUACAUCUUUUGUCCUGAGUCACUGAAUUUCAGGAGGCAACCGAAGAUUCCACCAGCUUCAGAUUCUGAAUCUGCAACCCAACCCAUCUCUCCAGUGAGCAGAGUUAAACUGCACCCCUGGGAGGAAGUGAGACUAGAAAUAAUAGAAGUGGAAAUCAGAAUUGGCAUAGAGAUCAUGAACAAAGCCAAUUGAGAGCCACAGAUUUGCCACUUCUGUAAAUAUUUACAGACAGAAUAUUAUUCAACUCAAGCUAAAGUGAAAACACCAAUGAUGCUUGAAGCCUCUUUUGGCCUUAGGUGUGAUCAGAGCCCUCAGUGACCAGGACCUUCAUAUUCACGUGAGACUGGUUUUGAACAAAUGCUUUUGCAAGAAGCACAGGGCGUGCUGCGUGGAGGAAGUACAAUGACGAUGGGGUUCGUUCUUCUUGGAAUGAUCAAGGGGACAUGGGUUUAACCCCUCGCCAGGACGAUUCCACGUGCCUCUGGGCAACUAGGCCCAUGCACCUCCAUCACUGAAGUCCGCAUGACUGUAAGGCCCAGACUCCUUGACAAGAGAAGCCAGCACUGUGAGAAGCCCGUGUACUGCAACCAGAGGGUGGCCCCCACUCAGUGACAAGAGAAAGCCCCUGCACAGCGACGAAGACCCCGUGGAGCCAAAAAUAAAAAAAGAAUUUAGAAAGUAAAUUUAAGAAAAGAAUUAAAAUAUUAAUUAUUAAUGUGAACAAUCAGAAAUCUCGCUACCUCUCCAAUCAAGUCAUAUCAUUUAUUGCCUUC